rnacentral:rRNA from 1 species
GACGAACGCUGGCGGCGCGCCUAACACAUGCAAGUCGAACGAAGUUAAGUUAGCUGAAGUUUUCGGAUGGAAGCAGACUUAGCUUAGUGGCGAACGGGUGAGUAACACGUGAGCAACCUGCCCUUCAGUGGGGGACAACAGUUGGAAACGACUGCUAAUACCGCAUAAGACCACAGUACCGCAUGGUACCGUGAUCAAAGGAUUUAUUCGCUGAAGGAUGGACUCGCGCCUGAUUAGCUAGAUGGUGAGGUAAUGGCUCACCAUGGCAACGAUCAGUAGCCGGACUGAGAGGUCGAUCGGCCACAUUGGGACUGAGACACGGCCCAGACUCCUACGGGAGGCAGCAGUGGGGAAUAUUGCACAAUGGAGGAAACUCUGAUGCAGCGACGCCGCGUGAGGGAAGAAGGUUUUCGGAUUGUAAACCUCUGUCUUCGAGGACGAAAAAAAUGACGGUACUCGAGGAGGAAGCCACGGCUAACUACGUGCCAGCAGCCGCAGUAA